GUAGAACUGGUCUAACAAUUAUCCACGAAUUGGAUCAAUACUGAUGAUAAUCUCAGGUUCAUGAUAUCAUCGCCUUAAUACGUUGAGCCCUGACCGAGCUAGGAGUCCGACAAUGAACAUUCCAUCUGGUCUCCAUCGGCCGAUAGGGACCGAUAGUGAUUUUUUCUGAAAAUCAUUUUGUAACUUUGUUACUGUAGUUCCCAGUGGCGACUCAAAGUCCAUUGUUGAUCCGACGAGACCGACGCGAACUAGGCGGAAAAUUCAGUCCCCAGAGACCGACGUGGGGCCCAACGUGUUAACCGUAGUUUAUCUCAAGUAAAUAUUGAUAUUUCCAUCUAGCAGGGAUACAUAAACUUUAGUUCCACGAAUAGACUGCUAGUUAUCGGUGCUUACCACACCGGUGAAAUACCCUUUCGCGUUGUUUUGAGUUUUUAUCAUGCACCAAAAUAGUCGUAGUAAUAGUAAUUUUGAGAUUAUACAUAACAGUGCACGUUUCGUCAGUAUCCAUUCAGUAUUCUCCUCUUUUUGGUACAAAAAAAACUACUAUCACUACUCAGAGAAAUUUGUUCAACGAUGAAAGAUAUGUGCUGCGAUGUAUUCAACGAAGAGAAAGUAUGUCACACAAACACACACUCACGAGUACCCGAAGUGCGAAAGAUUCAUAUUCAUGUGAAAACAUAUGUUGCAAUGCUGUAAGGAGUGAUUGCAUGCGAAUGUGUUAGCAAUUUCGUGAAUUUGGAAUACGUAUGAAAUAACUCAAUCGCCAGAGUCACCAAUCGACGCGCAAGAUUACAAUUUGAUCUGAUAUUUUGGUUGGCCAGAGAGCAGGAUAAUUUUAGCACUCAAAAACUGACCAUAGCAAGGUGCAGAAGGAGGAUCGUAUGAAGAAAUAAAUGAGAGCUGCUGACGAAACACGAACAACUCGAACUUUGUUACGCGCGAAGUAUAUUUACCCACAACAGGUGCCAUGUAUAACCGCAUCCAGACUCAUAACAACUUUUGUACCGGUGCUUGUGAGACACUAGGCGAACAGGCGGUUUUGUUCGAAAGUUCCAGGCUGCAGUUACUUACCUUUCGCAGGGUCAGAUUCAAUCUUAUCCAUUAUGUAUGAAAUGUUCAACAGUGGAACAUAUUUUGAUAAAUGCUGCAAUUUAACGAAAAGCACAGUUUCGAAACCGGUAUUUUUUUCUAGAUUUCUCGUGAAUUAUACUAUCACACUUAUUUAUAGCAAAUAUUCGUUGUCGCGUUCCUUUCGUUUGUCGCACUGAGUAAAAAUUCUCUUUCUUCAGAAUUUUUCUCGUGAACAGGCGAAUUUAUCUAUUUUUUGCUCACAGAAUUUGCGUACACACUUGUCAGUUUCUGAAAGAUAUUUAACUACAUUACAGAAGAUUAAAAAUUAUCUAUAAACUGUUCACGAAAACACUACAGAAGCUUUGUCACGUACAGCAUCCAGUUGUCUCGAUCAGACGUGAUAAAUUGCUCGAUGCUGCUCGAUUAUGCUAACGACUUGUUCAUUUGAAGAUCGUGCGUUCGUGAAAACUAUAAUUGAACGGUGAACCGACAGAGCAGGAAACACAAAGCACUGGACACGCGGCAAAGGCAGAGACGGAAGAAAGUAAAACAAGGAUAAAAGGAAUAGUCGCGGAUAAAAAGUUUGAACACAAAAAAAACAGACGUUUUGUGUGCAAAUCUCAACUCUCGAGGAAACAGAGUAAAAUGGUCCGCAUUGGUUUCAGCACGAACGACACUGGGAUCGUACUGCUUUAUUUUUCGUAACAAACUUGCCUGUGUUUGUGGGCCGGAACUACCAGACACUGCUUCACGCUAAUUUGGCGACGAGAAAAUUCAACAGUUAAUAUUAUGUGAUUCUCCCCGUGCUCAAGCAGCGCGCGCAUCAUUUUUUCUUUCGAUUUGUUUUCAAGUGUUUUAAGAACCGAUCUCGCUUCAAUUGAUUACAAACUAUUUAGUGUGCAGCAUAACAUGAUUCUUCAUUGACAAUUGCACGCGUUGAUGGGAUAUAAACCAAAUAAUCUGCCAAGUUUGUAGCAACGAUACUAAUCUAAUUCUAAUACUACUAAAUGCAUUCUAAUUCAUCGUUGGCACAGUAAAUACUAAUAAAUUGGUUAUUAAUCAUGGUCGUGUUAUUUUUAAUCUCAGUUCUAUAUUCCAUAAUACAUAUCUGAACUAGUUAGCGCCACUCAAAUGUUCACUGUAAACGUUUUCUCGCGACGAGUUUAGCUACAUAUAAAUGAUAUGCAUCAAUAUUUUAUCCCCGCAUCACUUAUGGUAUUACCGAAUUUAAAAAUCUUUGAGUUUAUUUUCUAUCUGUGAGUUAGUUUUUGCAUUGGACUUUUCCAUAGUGACUCGUAUUGUUAGUUUCAAUGUAUUGUAUUGUUUCAAUAUAAUAUACUUGUCAUGGUCAUGGGUGUCAUCCCUCUGAGGGAUUUUUACCAAAACUUGACGAAUUGUCACUCGAGUAACAUUUAAAUUGAAAAAUAGUUUUAUUUGCAUAAGCGAUUUUGAGGUAUUCGAAGCUGUUGUGGCUAUUUCUCGCUUAUCCUGAUCAGAGAGCUUCGAUUUAAGUGGAGCUCUCUCCUUCUCACCGUAUUCUCGAGAAUUCGCCAAAUAAUUAAGUACUACUUGAUGGGAUCGUCCAAUCCGACAAGCAAUUUCUCUGAUUCCAACAUUUUCUUGGUAAAAUGCAUCGAUUUGUAUUUCUUCUCUCUCCGUGGGCUCUUUUCCCUCCGGCAUUUUCCAGAUUUAUUGAUCUAAACCGAUCUUAUAGAAAUUUGACACUUGAAAAAUACAAAAAUAUUCAUUUACGCUCAGCGCUCACACACACACAUAUGAAAGCAGUGUAUGGUAGUCACCAAUACCUACACACUAGAAUAUAAAUUGAAGCAUUGUUUGCUUACUAUUACACAAAGCAUCAGGAUCAUCACCUUAUAGAAGUUGGACAUAGUGUAUUGCAUCAUACAUAAGGAGAAUAUCUGUGCCAAAAUGUACGGGUCAAGGUUGUCAUAUAGGACGUCGUCAAAAUCGCAAACUACAUCAAAUCACAUGCAUUGAAUCAUCGUGAGUUCCAAGCUCUUCUUGAAGAUGUGGACGCACAGUAUGGCAACAUUCCAUCCUUCAAUUAAAACUGGGCGAUAGUAUAAGGCCGAUUACACAUUAUCCGGUUUCUGCCGGACCGGUUUGAAACCCAAAUGGCAAAUUUCGAUCGGACCAACCUUUUUACGACGCCGUGAUGCAGCCGUCUACAGCGACUGCAAUGUCCGGUGACCGGACAAGCAUUAUACGCGAUGACCGUAGAAUAGUGUCGACGUCUGGUGGAGACAUCGGUUUGGGAAAGCAAAUCAUUCUCUAUAAGAUUAUCACACCUCAAGACAGUUUUAAGUUGUUUAAAUUUUUAAUGAAAACUUUUACUUCAUAUUAUUUGAUUGCUCAGAACCUGUGGUAUUGAUUCUUCCUUAACCAUUUUUGUAUAGUUUCCUUGAUAUUUUAACUAAAACUCAUCAUUGUAAUAUACAAUCAUUAUCAGACACAAUUAUUGUUCAGGAGGUUUCCCAACUUGCAAAAAAAACGUAUUACUUCAUUACAUAAAGAACACAUUUCAUGAGAAGAAGUUAAUUUUCAUUCAUAGUUUUUAUUUUAAGAUAUGUGUUUAAUGCACCUGAAAAUCCAUUAUUUCCAUCCAAUCCAUCGCGAUAUUUCUAUCACUAUCAUUUCCCAAAAGCGGAGCACGAAGCUCCAUGCCAUGAAAGCGAAUUGACAGUUGUUUGUCAUGUCUGUUAGUAUUAGUACAAUUCAGGCAAUUUUUCGUCUAAUGUAAUAGUAUGUGUGCACUAUUGACGUUUGUUUGUUGAUUUUGAAACCAGUUGAUAAUUUGCAAGCGAUAUGGAUGCUGAAAUUUUUAUUUCACUUCUUCAACAACUACCAGUGUUGUGGAACUAAUUCUGUGAUGCAAGUUUCUGCUCAAAGUGAAGCAAUGGUCACAGGUGCACGAUGUCAUCAUUUAGCAUAUUGCCAUGGACUGUGUUAUUAACGGUGAGUGGUGUCUUUUGACAAGCAGAUCGAGUAUUUUAAUUGACUUCUAUUUUUUGUUCACAGGCACCAUCCCUUAUCUGAAAUAAUUAUUGAACGAGUUCGGGGAUGUCAAACAAAUCUUCAAUUGGUUCAUGGAGGGGCGGAUUUCGAGCGGCUUUAUCGAGCUGAAUGAGAAGUUUGACCUGACCGGCGACGCGAUCGACGACGAGACCAAGGCACUCCAGCCAAAACUGUCAGAUAUGUGCUCUGUGGUCUAAAUGUUCCAAUGCCCGACGCCAAAGCAUCGGUUCUGUCAGAACGAAAUUCCAGCUUAUCUGAUUCGGUCAUUCUUUGCCCCGGAUCCGCGUAUUGAUAGCUGUGAUGCGAAUUGGGCUCGAGAAGCUGCCCAUGCCCCAGGAUUACGUGCUCGAGGAAUUGCGGCAUAUGUUGAGCUCGUUCUUCGACGAGGAUCAGCGGAAGCAGCAAUGGAAUAGUGUUUGAACGAAUUAUGUUAUUUUAUUCGUAAUUUGUUUACUGUAUUAAUGAAAUAAAAAAAACUCCAGAAUGAAUGGAUGUGUAUACAUUCUCUUGUAGGUAAAUUCCAAAAUAAUCACAGGAAGUGAACACAUUAUACAUAUAAAUAAAUAGUGCCUCUGGCUUGUAACGGAAUGUUAUUAUUAUUGGUUCAUCAAAUUGCACUUUUAUCUAACCGUGUUUCUGAGACUGUUGAAAAAUUAUGUGGCAACAGAGCGUGUGAAAUAAAUCAUACUAUUCGUGUAUGCUUGGAAACGAAAUAAUUAUGCGUAUGAAUGAAUAAACCGCAGCUGGACUAAAGUUAGUUUUUUAAACGUAUUCUGUGGUGGGGCGGAAGUAUUCACGAUAGGUACGGUAAGAACGCCGUUAUGAUGCAGGAUGUGUGUAAUGUCCGUGAGGCCUGGUCUCACUUUGAUCAUGCUCAUGGUGUGCUACACUCCAACAUUCGGCCUUAUGUGAUUUCCAAGGAACAUACAUAUGAGAACGCUCGUGGUUGCCGCAGCAGCUGUGGGUUUAAGGUUUUCCGUCUGCACUCAGCUGCAUGUAACCGGAAUAUUUGAAGCAAUGUUUACCUGUCAAAUCCACAUAUAAAUAAAUGCAUAUAUGUGUUUGUGAGAGAUGUACGGUUUUGUGUAGCGCGAGGUCUCUUUCACAUUGUUGUCCGGUUUUCCGUCCAAACCCAGCGGCGCUUUUUGAAACCGGAUAAUGUGUAAUCGCCCUAACAGUAUAGUAUAGCAGAUCUAACUUUCCUAACGAACAUCACGGCAAGGUAAAUCGGUUCACAACUCAACCAGAUAAAACAUUGUAAGGGGUUUUAUCUAGGAUACGACUUACAUAUAAGAUAUAGAACAAAUUUAUUGUUUAUUAUUUUUUUAAAUUUAUUUUAAUUUAUUUUUAUUUGGAGGGAAAGCUCACAAAAGUGGGCGAAAAACCUCAUCUUUUAAGUAUCAAACAGAUUACAUUAAAUCCUACAGAUACAUAUAUGAGGGGCUUAGAAUGCAAGGGGUGUAAGUGACUUGAUCGAUUUCUCUUCAUCAACUUUUUAUUUAGUUAAUAACUCGACUGCAAAAACGUUCCAAAUUAAGUUUGCUAUAGAAUCCGAUAGAUGAGGUUCUGACCUAUCUUCCACAUUGUCAAAUACAGCUGGGAAUGUAUUUGCAGCGAAGUUAUGACCAAAAGAGAGAGUCGAUGUAGAGAAAUCGAUCAAAUCACUUACACCCCUUUCAUUCUAAGCCCCUCAUAUAUCUAAACUAAUCUAGACUUACACAUGUACACAUUCAAACUAGUCUAAAACAUAAAAGAAACAAUCAAAUAACUAAAAGAUUAUCAUAAAACAAAUUCUUAAUUCUAACACGGGACACAUUGAAACCAAAACAACGAUUAAAUCUAUUGAACGUUCUGCACAUGCUAGUUAUCGGCUCAUUUGUGCCGUAGUUCGUGAGAGAGGCCGGGACGGUAAAAAAAUAGUGAGAACGUACGUUCACGCGUCUGAUGUUGAUGUCCACCUGUUGCAACAGUGCACCACAAUCGAUGUCAGAUCGCAACAGAUCAACGAUAAAUAUCGAUUUGGAAACGUCGUGGCGAACACUUAAUAAUUGUAGGCUCAUCAAGAUACAUCUACAUUUGUAUUCUGGCAGAUUGAACGAUCCCUCCAUGGUACCCAACGAAGAGCAAAGCGUACGAAUCUCCGUUGGAUGGAUUCGAUGCGAUUCACACCGAUGCUGUAGAAAGGUGCCCAUACUACAGAGCAGUAUUCCAAAGUUGAUCGAACCAAAGACGAGUCGAGUGCCUUCAAACAAGAAACAUCUCUGAAUUCUCUGGCGAACCGAAAUAUCAAGCCGAGUUGUUUUGACGCCUUAGCGAAAGCGUAAGUAACCUGAUCCUUGAAGGUCAGUUUAAAGUCAAGUAUGGCCACCAAGUCUUUGAAAUUCGGUUCGCGGUUGAGGAUAUAAUCCUGCAAGCAAUAUGUAAAACAGAUUGAUGAUUUAAUCCUACAAAACGUGAUAACAGCACAUUUUGAGGCGUUUAGCAUCAUUCUGUUCUUAUGACACCAAUCAGCAAAAACGUCAAACUGCUGCUGAAGAAAUAAUGCGUCGCCGUGGUCUUUUAUAACAAAAUAAAGUUUAAAAUCGUCGGCGUAUGAUAGCUUCAUGCACCUAAUAGAAAAAUGAACGUCGUUCAAAUAUAGUAAAAAGAUGAAAGGCCCAAGGUGACUUCCUCGAGGAACGCCAGAAGAUACAGAAAACGAUUCAGAAAUAUGAUCACCAAUUUUUACAGCCAUAUAUCGACCGGUAAGGUAUGAACGUAGCCAAUUCAAAAAAGAACCGUGAUGAUUUAUAUUAUCAAACGCAGCUGAGAGAUCGGUGUAAAUAACGUCGACUUGAUGUCCUUUCUCCAACUCGCGUAUAAUUGAAGAGGUGUAUUGUACGAGAUUUGUAGCAGCAGAUCUCUUCGGCAUAAACCCAUGUUGUUCGGAGGCAAUGUAGAUGGAACAAUUGUACUUUAGAUAAUCCAGCACCAACAGUUCAAAUAGUUGGGAGACUACACAUAAAGUAGCGAUGCCGCGAUAGGUCGAAACAGACUGUUUAUCGCCCUUCUUGAAGAUUGGAAAAACGAACGAGAAGUUCCAGAUCUCGGGAAAAAUUCCAUUUGAGACGUAGGCUAGCUUCUCGUACGUCUUCACCUGAAAUUGACAGAUGCGGCCUUAUAGCGCGAUGCAUAGGUAUCUGACGCGCGAAGGCUGAGAUAUGGUUUCUAGACAGUAGCUUGAGCAUUACAAUCGGGUUCAUCAUGAUAUGAAGCUGGAAAGGUGGGAGAACUUUGUACGACGUUGCAGUGAUCAUUUCCUGCAACGGCAGGACGUAUACUAUUCCAGCAAUUACCUGAGAAACCCAGCUCAGUAACUUGAGCAUUGCAAUCGAGUUCAUUUUGAUGAGUAGCUAUGUUGAAGUUAGGCGAGUUGUCACCGGCCCGUUUUUUUUUAUUUGUCUCGAACAUGCGAACGGUGUUCCCAUCAUGCCAAUACCAUGCAUCACCGACCACUUUGGGUACGGAUUUAGAUGCGGUAACUUUGAAGGAGACGAAAGAGAAAUCUUUCAGACUCUUCCCACGUGGUACUAGUUUUGUUAUUUUCAGUAGAGAUGAAUGAAUAUUAACGAUGUCAUGAACGUGUCACUUCAAAUCGUUUUCAUUUUGUUCCGGGAAAAGUGCGAUCACGUAGAUAGACACCAUGUAGUUGUCAGUCUGAUCCUUUCUGGCAACCUUCAAAGAAGCUAUGUUCGGCCUUGUACUGCAACCAGCUUCAAAACCAGUAUUAUCAACGAGAGGCUCGAUGCGGGGCCGAUUUGCUUCAUCAUGAAAGGCAAUAUUGUCAACGGUACGAUUCAAGCGAUGAGUUGGAAUGGAUUGGUUCGAAACGUGAUACGUGAUGGAUCUCUCAUGCAACGGAACAGUUGAUGUUUGACAUGGCAAUAUCCGCACCCGCUUGUUGAGACCGAUCGAAAACAUUUCCGUUGGAUGAGCUAUUGUGCAAUUUAUUUCAUCAAUAACUUCAAAAAACGACGUUUCACAGCAGGAUCUCGAACGAUUAAUGCGAUCCUCUAAAGUGUCGUCGAGGGUGAGACGAUUCAGGACAUGUAAGAAGGUUGAUUGAUGUGUUGGUUGGUUUCUCUUUUGUUUGCCGUAAAUGGUCGUGUUAAUUUGGCGGAUAUUAUCCCCAUACAUUGCCGAGUAUCCAUUGAAUCCGUCCGUAUUAAAGGGUGUGUCACAUCAAAUUGCAUCACGGAAAAACGCUGUAGAAAUUUAAUUUUUAGGAAUUAUAUCUUCAGCUUUCGCUUAUAAUCAGAUAAGACUGUAUAGAAUUCGUUGGCCAUGCUUCACUGUCAAUUUUUCGUAAAUUUGGAAAAAUGUCGUCGAACGAAAAAGAGCGUCGUGAAUUAAUCCUGUGCACUCAUUUCGAGAAUCCGGAGUUGUCACAUCGGGACAUCGGUAAGAUGCUGGGAAUCGUCCAAUCCACGGUCAGCAGAGUACUAAAACGAUACUUCGAGAACCUAACCAUCGACCGAAAUGUGAAGAACGGCAAAAAUGGAUGCUCCGUCAGUGAAAAAGAUCACAAGCGCGUAGUUAAGCAGUUUAGACGUGAUCCGAGAAGUUCGGUCCGGGAUGUCGCCAAUAAGCUGAAUUUGUCAAGUUCAUUCGUCCAGCGGACCAAGCAGCGAGAGGGCCUG